CCGACAAUAGGCACAAGGAAUGUUUUCAGGCAGAAGUAAGCAAAGACCAGAAAAGGAAACUGCCCUCCAAACACAAAAGCCACAUGAACUCAGCCUCCAGGGGAGACAGGACUGCCACUCCCAAGAAGAAAAAUGAGAAACGGAGAUGUUGAGAAACCUGCCAAGUCUCGGACUGAGUCAGCAGAGGAAAGAAAACAAAACUGUACUUCGGAUCCCAGCGUCGCAAACAGAGCAUGGAGACUGCCUUCCUGCUGGCAAAGCUUCAAGGUCCCCUUUCUAUUUUCAUGCUUAGCUUUGUUUGUGCUCUGAAGCCAAAGUUUCGCUUCCUUCCAUGCGCAUCAAGCCCCCUCUCCUCCUCACGACUCCCCAUAAAUCCGUCUGUGCCUUUUCCCUUCGAAGAAAAGCAAGCACACAAAGCCACCAGGCAUGUGCUGGAAGGCCAAAGGUUCAGAGAAAGGCGCUGUCGACAUCAAGGUCCUAGGAUCCCACAAGCUCACGCCACAGUUGUUGGAGGGUUUGGAAGUUAGAUGCCAGGCUAAACUCCUUGCCAUUUCCAGACUCACUCCUUACAUGACAAAUGAGUUCCCUGGAGCUGCGGCUUCCAGAUCAACGUGACUGCCAAAACAUCAAUGUGGAUUAUGUCACUUCCCCCUUUUAUUAGUUUGGAUCCUUCUCAAACUGACUUCCAAUACAACGGGAUGGGGAAAAAAAAAAAAAGAAAGAUUGAAGCUGCUCUGCAAGCAUGGUCCGAAGAAGCUGAAAUGUUUACAGAGUAGUAGCAGGUACAUGAAGAAAUGAUUUAACCUUUCUGGCCUGUUUUCCUACAAGCAGCGAAGAGGGAAGAAAGUGAUUGGGACUCAGAUCCGAUGACAUCAAGAGCUCUUCCUGAGUGCCAGUUCUAGCAUCAUGACACUUCAGCCCAGGUUUUAACAUCUGCCUGGAGGACACAUAUUGCCAAACCACCUCGAGAACAUCACGGAGAAGGAGAAGAUAUAUUUUAUGGAACACAUUAUUGCAUUAUGUGAUAUCUGAUAUGUUUUCUGGAAGGCUCUCAUUCAAUAAAAUACGAUUAGCAUUGA